CAGCAGCCGCGGUAAUACAGAGGUGGCAAGCGUUGUUCGGAAUUAUUGGGCGUAAAGAGCACGUAGGUGGGUUUGUAAGUCAGAUGUGAAAGCCUUCUGUUCAACGGAAGAAUUGCAUCUGAAACUGCGAGUCUUGAGUGUAGGAGGGGAGAAUGGAACUUCUGGUGGAGCGGUGAAAUGCGUAGAUAUCAGAAGGAACGCCGGCGGCGAAAGCGAUUCUCUGGCCUAUUACUGACACUCAGUGUGCGAAAGCUAGGGGAGCAAACGGGAUUAGAUACCCCGGUAGUCCUAGCCGUAAACGAUGGGCACUAAGUAGAGGGAAUUACCGAUAUUCUCUCUGCCGUAGCUAACGCAUUAAGUGCCCCGCCUGGGGAGUACGGCCGCAAGGCUAAAACUCAAAAGAAUUGACGGGGGCUCGCACAAGCGGUGGAGCAUGUGGCUUAAUUCGAUGCAACGCGAAAAACCUUACCGGGGCUUGACAUGGUAGAAGUAGGAACCCGAAAGGGUAACGAACGGUAUCCAGUCCGUAGCUAUCACAGGUGUUGCAUGGCUGUCGUCAGCUCGUGUCGUGAGACGUUGGGUUAAGUCCCCUAACGAGCGAAACCCUUGUUUUUAGUUACCAGCGGGUUGUGCCGGGUACUCUAGAAAGACUGCCGUCGUCAAGACGGAGGAAGGUGGGAAUGACGUCAAGUCAUCAUGGCCCUUAUGCCCCGGGCUGCACACGUGCUACAAUGGUCGGUACAAACGGAUGCGAAGCCGAGAGGUGAAGCGAAUCCUAAAAAGCCGAUCUCAGUUCGGAUUGGAGGAUGAAAUUCGCCUCCAUGAAGUUGGAAUGGAUAGUAAUCGCGGAUCAGCAGUGCCGCGGUGAAUAUGUUCCCGAGCCUUGUACACACCGCCAGUCAAGCCACCCAAGCAGGAUGCACCCGAAAACAUUAUAUCUAACCAGGGCAACUUGGAGGAAAAUGUUGAAGGAGUGUUUUGUGAGGAGGACUAAGUCGUAACAAGGUAACCGUA
rnacentral:rRNA from 1 species